rnacentral:rRNA from 1 species
AGACUUUUUAUUUGAUGCUUGCAUCUUUUAAAAAGUUGAGUGGCGAACGGGUGAGUAACACGUGGGUAACCUACCUUAAAGUGGGGGAUAACACUUGGAAACAGGUGCUAAUACCGCAUAACCAUCAAAACCGCCUGGUUUUGAUGUUAAAGAUGGUUCUGCUAUCGCUUUAAGAUGGACCCGCGGCGUAUUAGCUAGUUGGUGAGGUAACGGCUUACCAAGGCAAUGAUACGUAGCCGAACUGAGAGGUUGAUCGGCCACAUUGGGACUGAGACACGGCCCAAACUCCUACGGGAGGCAGCAGUAGGGAAUCUUCCACAAUGGACGAAAGUCUGAUGGAGCAACGCCGCGUGAGUGAAGAAGGUUUUCGGAUCGUAAAACUCUGUUGUCAGAGAAGAACGUGUGUGAGAGUAACUGUUCACGCAGUGACGGUAUCUGACCAGAAAGUCACGGCUAACUACGUGCCAGCAGCCGCGGUAAUACGUAGGUGGCAAGCGUUGUCCGGAUUUAUUGGGCGUAAAGGGAACGCAGGCGGUCUUUUAAGUCUGAUGUGAAAGCCUUCGGCUUAACCGAAGUCGGGCAUUGGAAACUGGGAGACUUGAGUGCAGAAGAGGAGAGUGGAACUCCAUGUGUAGCGGUGAAAUGCGUAGAUAUAUGGAAGAACACCAGUGGCGAAAGCGGCUCUCUGGUCUGUAACUGACGCUGAGGUUCGAAAGCGUGGGUAGCAAACAGGAUUAGAUACCCUGGUAGUCCACGCCGUAAACGAUGAAUGCUAAGUGUUGGAGG